UACGUAGGUGACAAGCGUUGUCCGGAUUUACUGGGCGUAAAGAGCGCGCAGGCGGUCGAUCAAGUCGAGUGUGAAAGCCCCCGGCUCAACUGGGGAGGGUCAUUCGAUACUGAUCGACUCGAAGGCAGGAGAGGGUAGUGGAAUUCCCGGGUGUAGUGGUGAAAUGCGUAGAUAUCGAGAGGAACACCUGCGGCGAAGGCGGGUAGCUGGGCCGACACUGACGCUGAUGCGCGAAAGCCAGGGGAGCGAACGGG
rnacentral:rRNA from 1 species